UAGGGAUAGUAUAAUAUUGGAAGUACCAUAAGAUUUUGGAUUUUAUGGUGCGGGUUCGAUUAUACUAUCCCCUA
rnacentral:tRNA from 1 species